rnacentral:rRNA from 1 species
AGUCGAGCGGGGAAAUGUAGCUUGCUACAUUACCUAGCGGCGGACGGGUGAGUAAUGCUUAGGAAUCUGCCUAUUAGUGGGGGACAACAUUCCGAAAGGAAUGCUAAUACCGCAUACGUCCUACGGGAGAAAGCAGGGGAUCUUCGGGCCUUGCGCUAAUAGAUGAGCCUAAGUCGGAUUAGCUAGUUGGUGGGGUAAAGGCCCACCAAGGCGACGAUCUGUAGCGGGUCUGAGAGGAUGAUCCGCCACACUGGGACUGAGACACGGCCCAGACUCCUACGGGAGGCAGCAGUGGGGAAUAUUGGACAAUGGGGGGAACCCUGAUCCAGCCAUGCCGCGUGUGUGAAGAAGGCCUUUUGGUUGUAAAGCACUUUAAGCGAGGAGGAGGCUACUAGUAUUAAUACUACUGGAUAGUGGACGUUACUCGCAGAAUAAGCACCGGCUAACUCUGUGCCAGCAGCCGCGGUAAUACAGAGGGUGCGAGCGUUAAUCGGAUUUACUGGGCGUAAAGCGUGCGUAGGCGGCUGAUUAAGUCGGAUGUGAAAUCCCUGAGCUUAACUUAGGAAUUGCAUUCGAUACUGGUCAGCUAGAGUAUGGGAGAGGAUGGUAGAAUUCCAGGUGUAGCGGUGAAAUGCGUAGAGAUCUGGAGGAAUACCGAUGGCGAAGGCAGCCAUCUGGCCUAAUACUGACGCUGANGUACGAAAGCAUGGGGAGCAAACAGGAUUAGAUACCCUGGUAGUCCAUGCCGUAAACGAUGUCUACUAGCCGUUGGGGCCUUUGAGGCUUUAGUGGCGCAGCUAACGCGAUAAGUAGACCGCCNGGGGAGUACGGUCGCAAGACUAAAACUCAAAUGAAUUGACGGGGGCCCGCACAAGCGGUGGAGCAUGUGGUUUAAUUCGAUGCAACGC